rnacentral:rRNA from 1 species
CAGGGAAUAUUGGUAAUCUGCGAAAGCGGGAACCAGCAACGCCGCAUGUGCGAUGAAGGCCUUCGGGUCGUAAAGCACUUUUCGAGGGGAUGAGGAAGGACAGUACCCUCGGAAUAAGUCUCGGCUAACUACGUGCCAGCAGCCGCGGUAAAACGUAGGAGGCGAGCGUUAUCCGGAUUUACUGGGCGUAAAGCGCGUGCAGGCGGUUUGGUAAGUUGGAUGUGAAAGCUCCCGGCUCAACUGGGAGAGGUCG